AGAGUUUGAUCCUGGCUCAGAUUGAACGCUGGCGGCAUGCCUUACACAUGCAAGUCGAACGGCAGCACGGGAGCAAUCCUGGUGGCGAGUGGCGAACGGGUGAGUAAUAUAUCGGAACGUGCCCAGUCGUGGGGGAUAACGCAGCGAAAGCUGUGCUAAUACCGCAUACGAUCUCUGGAUGAAAGCGGGGGACUCGCAAGGGCCUCGCGCGAUUGGAGCGGCCGAUAUCAGAUUAGCUAGUUGGUGGGGUAAAAGCCCACCAAGGCGACGAUCUGUAGCUGGUCUGAGAGGACGACCAGCCACACUGGAACUGAGACACGGUCCAGACUCCUACGGGAGGCAGCAGUGGGGAAUUUUGGACAAUGGGCGCAAGCCUGAUCCAGCAAUGCCGCGUGCAGGAUGAAGGCCUUCGGGUUGUAAACU
rnacentral:rRNA from 1 species